CCAAACCUGGUUGAUCCUGCCAGUAGUCAUAUGCUUGUCUCAAAGAUUAAGCCAUGCAUGUCUAAGUAUAAGCCCUUGUACGGCGAAACUGCGAAUGGCUCAUUAAAACAGUUAUCGUUUCUUUGAUAAUCACUUACUACAUGGAUAACUGUAGUAAUUCUAGAGCUAAUACAUGCGUCAAUGCCCGACUUCACA
rnacentral:rRNA from 1 species